AAGCUUUUGUAAUUCCUAAGCAUAAUGAUUAGCUGUUUACACAUACAAGAUGUGCCUCCCUCAAACCUUGUGAACGAUGUCAGCACGUUAUCCAUCUGACA